UACGGAGGGUGCGAGCGUUAAUCGGAAUUACUGGGCGUAAAGCGCAUGCAGGUGGUUUGUUAAGUCAGAUGUGAAAGCCCGGGGCUUAACCUCGGAAUUGCAUUUGAAACUGGCAGGCUAGAGUCUUGUAGAGGGGGUAGAAUUUCAGGUGUAGCGGUGAAAUGCGUAGAGAUCUGAAGGAAUACCAGUGGCGAAGGCGGCCCCCUGGACAAAGACUGACGCUCAGAUGCGAAAGCGUGGGGAGCAAACAGG
rnacentral:rRNA from 1 species